GAUGAACGCUGGCGGCGUGCUUAACACAUGCAAGUCGAACGGAAAGGCCCAAGCUUGCUUGGGUACUCGAGUGGCGAACGGGUGAGUAACACGUGGGUGAGCUGCCCCGCACUUCGGGAUAAGCCUGGGAAACUGGGUCUAAUACCGGAUAGGACAGUGGUUUGGAUGCCAUUGUGGAAAGUUUUUUCGGUGUGGGAUGAGCUCGCGGCCUAUCAGCUUGUUGGGGGGGUAAUGGCCUACCAAGGCGUCGACGGGUAGGCGGCCUGAGAGGGUGUACGGCCACAUUGGGACUGAGAUACGGCCCAGACUCCUACGGGAGGCAGCAGUGGGGAAUAUUGCACAAUGGGCGCAAGCCUGAUGCAGCGACGCCGCGUGGGGGAUGACGGCCUUCGGGUUGUAAACUCCUUUCGCUAGGGACGAAGCGUUAUGUGACGUUACCUAGAGAAGAAGCACCGGCUAACUACGUG
rnacentral:rRNA from 1 species